GAACGCUGGCGGCGUGCUUAACACAUGCAAGUCGAACGGAAAGGCCCUUCGGGGUACUCGAGUGGCGAACGGGCGAGUAACACGUGGGUGAUCUGCCCUGCACUUUGGGAUAAGCCUGGGAAACUGGGUCUAAUACCGAAUAGGACCACGCGCUUCAUGGUGUGUGGUGGAAAGCUUUUGCGGUGUGGGAUGGGCCCGCGGCCUAUCAGCUUGUUGGUGGGGUAAUGGCCUACCAAGGCGACGACGGGUAGCCGGCCUGAGAGGGUGACCGGCCACACUGGGACUGAGAUACGGCCCAGACUCCUACGGGAGGCAGCAGUGGGGAAUAUUGCACAAUGGGCGCAAGCCUGAUGCAGCGACGCCGCGUGAGGGAUGACGGCCUUCGGGUUGUAAACCUCUUUCAAUAGGGACGAAGCGCAAGUGACGGUACCUAUAGAAGAAGCACCGGCCAACUACGUG
rnacentral:rRNA from 1 species